rnacentral:rRNA from 1 species
AUACGUAGGUGACAAGCGUUAUCCGGAUUUACUGGGCGUAAAGGGCGUGUAGGCGGUCUUGCAAGUCAGAAGUGAAAUUCCUGAGCUCAACUCGGGCGCUGCUUCUGAAACUGCAGGACUUGAGUGCUGGAGGGGAUAGCGGAAUUCCUAGUGGAGCGGUAAAAUGCGCAGAUAUUAGGAAGAACACCGGUGGCGAAGGCGGCUAUCUGGACAGUAACUGACGCUGAGGCGCGAAAGCGUGGGGAGCAAACAGGAUUAGAUACCCUGGUAGUCCACGCCGUAAAUGAUGAGCACUAAGUGUCGGAUGAAUUUUCGGCGCUGCAGUUAACACAAUAAGUGCUCCGCCUGGGGAGUACGGUCGCAAGACUGAAACUUAAAGGAAUGGACGGGG